UACGGAGGGUGCAAGCGUUAUCCGGAUUCACUGGGUUUAAAGGGUGCGUAGGUGGGCAGGUAAGUCAGUGGUGAAAUCCCCAAGCUUAACUUGGGAACUGCCAUUGAUACUAUUUGUCUUGAAUACCGUGGAGGUGAGCGGAAUAUGUCAUGUAGCGGUGAAAUGCUUAGAUAUGACAUAGAACACCAAUUGCGAAGGCAGCUUGCUACGCGGAUAUUGACACUGAUGCGCGAAAGCGUGGGGAUCAAACAGG
rnacentral:rRNA from 1 species